rnacentral:rRNA from 1 species
GCCACUGCUAUUGGGGUUCGGCUAAGCCAUGCGAGUGGAGGGCGUCCCGCAAGGGAUGGCCCCGCAGACGGCUCAGUAACACGUCGUCAACCCACCUUAGGGUGGGGGACAACCUCGGGAAACUGAGGAUAAUCCCCCAUAGGCGGGGGAGGCUGGAAUGCGCCCCCGCUGAAAGCUCAGGCGCCCUAGGACGGGACGGCGACCUAUCAGGUAGUUGGUGGUGUGACG